rnacentral:rRNA from 1 species
UACGGAGGGUGCAAGCGUUAUCCGGAUUCACUGGGUUUAAAGGGUGCGUAGGAGGGCAGGUAAGUCAGUGGUGAAAUCCUGGGGCUUAACCCCAGAACUGCCGUUGAUACUAUCGGUCUUGAAUGUCGUGGAGGUGAGCGGAAUAUGUCAUGUAGCGGUGAAAUGCUUAGAUAUGACAUAGAACACCUAUGGCGAAGGCAGCUCUCUGGGACGGUACUGACGCUGAGACGCGAAAGCGUGGGGAGCGAACAGG